GUAAACAAUCCUCAAGUUGAUGCAUUGUCUAGUGCAUUUAUAAUGUCUAAAGAGAAGUGUAUCGGCACCUCAACAAUAGUAUUUUACGUGAUCUUUUUCCAAUUGUUUGUUCAGUUCUUUGGUCUAAAUAUUUCUUUAAACAAUACUAUGUAUUUGAGAGUCCACGUCUGUUAGCCUUGCAGCUAUCUAAAUGCUAACAUACUCACUCCUAAAAGUUUGAUAUCAUUUUAGUUGUUAAAACAUACGGCCUUUGUUUAUUUUAAUUUUUUUUGUCCAAUCAAAUGCUUUCUAGAAUCUUAAUGCUUUUCCCUCUAAAACCUGUUGCCAGCUAGCAUUAGCAAGUAGCAAAUCAAGGUUCGCAGCUAUUUCGUAAACUAAACAUAAGGUCUGAAAUCUAGAACAAACUGUGUGACUGAUAAAAAUCUAUAUAGUAUGAAUGAAAUCCGGACGUUCUACAUUCUGUAUGUAGUCAUUGUCAUGUGACUUAUGGCAUCCGUUAGGUAGGAUAGUUAAGUGUCAAUUAUAUGUGCACUUCAGAAUCUCAGGUUGUAUACUAUAUAGUUUUCACAUUAUUAUAUAGCAGGCAUCCUCAAAUCUGGCCCACUCCUGCAGAGUUUAGCUCUAACCCUAAUCAAACACACCUGAGCAUGCUAAUCAGAGUCUUCAAGAUCAUUAGAAAAUCACAGGUAGGUGAGUUUGAUCAGGGUUGGAGCUAAACUGCAGCAGAUUGGCCCUCCAGGGAAAGAUUUGAGGAACCCUGUUAUACAGUAUAGGGACAAGCCCUUUAUGUCCCACCCCAACUUCCUGUUUGAAUACGAAAUACUGUAAAGAAAACUCUUCUGAUUUCAUGGGCUCUGAACGAAAUAAUAGUCUAAGGAAGUCGCGAGAUCUGAGUUCCAGUCACACUGACCUGGCGCAUUGAAGGUCUGCUGUUGGACGUCCUGAUGAAGAGGGGUACUAAGAGGUCUCAUCAUCGGGCUGAAGUGAACUGUGUUUUUGACAGGACUACCUUCUCCAGAGGUUACUUUUGCUGUCGUGUCUCUGUAUAUAUAUUUAAUUUCUGGUAAAUUAGCUGUAGAAAUGACAACUGAUGUAAAAACUCGACCAGAACCAAAGUGCACAACAAAUUUGAGAUUAUUAUGUUCUGCAGAGAUAAACGUGUCGAAAACCAGAAAAUAGAUAAUGCUAUUCAGGCUCAGGUGGAGACUUGACACUCUAAUGGCAUUUUUGCUGCUUUCAAGUGGUUUAUUUUGCUUUAUUUUGAGAUGUACUUUGACGCUUUUUUGAAACCAACAACUAUAGGACUGUUUUUAUUAAUGAAGGAUUAUAGUGACAGAGGUGUGCAUAUUUGUGUUUAUAGACCUAAAAUUGCUAUUUUUUUUUUUUUUUGUACCACUGUCCCUCUUUGUGACUUAAUAUUCUGCUAUUGACAACUUUAAUGUUGUUUAUACCUUGAGUUACACUAGAGGACCAUGAUGCUAAAGUAUGGAUUCAAUCAAACUUAUUCCCUUGAUAAAGAGAUAACUGCAUCUUGUUUAUGAAGGUCUAUGUUUACAUGAGUGAUGGUUUAAUGAUGCACAUUUUCUUAUUGCUUUUGAGAAGUGGGAAGGGAUCUGGUUUAUAAUGAAAGAAAUAGGAAAAUAGUAAAAAGAAAAUAAUUUAAAGUGGUUUACACUGCCGUGGAAAUCUAUACGUUUAGAAUGUGGAUUAAAUCUCAGGACUGAAAGAACAGAUUCAUUAUGCAAAGUAACACUGCACUUUGAACGAUCUCAAAGGAUAAUGUUACACUAUCAACCCUUGGCUACAUUUGGUUUAUAGAUGUUUUUGGUUGAUCUGUAAACUGAAUAUUACAAGUUUUCAUGAACCGUAACAACAGGAAGUCUUUCUGUUAUUUGUGAGGUAAAGCAACGCUGUUAUCUAACAUGGAGGUGUAAGUACUGCUACUCCAGAUAAAAAUGCACUGGAAUAUGAUUUCUGUCCCCAGAUGAAAGCGGUGUGCCUUGCGAAUGCCUCAAGGCAGGUUCUUACUAAUGAAUGUGGAAGUUAUUGAUUUUGAGUGUGACAGCAGAACAGUUUGAGCUCUGUAAGGUCAAAUUUUGGUCACGAUUUUACGAAGUAAAUAUAAAUUUUUAAUGUUGUGGUCAAAUAAAAGCUCAUUAUAUAUCAGUGUAUCAUGUCAUGGAUUUAUGCUAAUAUAGUGCACUGCUCAACUGGCCUUCUUGACUUUGUUUCUACUUUCUUUGUUCUCUUUAUCCAUGUAACUCUUUCUAUGGGUGUAAUAUAUUACUGUCUCAUGCAGUAAUUCGUUCAUCUUGUGUGUGUGUGUGUGUAUAAGUGUGUUUUCUCUGUGAAACGCAUAUUAAUGAUGUGCAAUAGGGUAGCUGCUGUGUUGGUUGGUUUUGAUCUCACAUGCUAUGUUUUACUGACAAAAGCUGGAAUAUCUGCUUGGCUUGUGUGUUUUGGUUAUCUUUGUACUCUAAACGAAUAAAUAUAUCACUUACAUUUUUAUACAUAAGAGUAUUCAGUUGUUUUAUGUCACUAAUUUGAGCUUUGUUACACACUUGUGGGACUAAAUGUGCCCUUCACAUGUUCGAAUUUGAUUUUCGGAUGGCUUAUGUUUUGCAUUUUUGACUGUUGAUCAGUUUGUGUUAUUUAGUCAUCAUUGUUGUUUUUUUUUAAAACGGGGUUACUGAUGAGGCACUCUCUCCCAGAGGUCUUUAAUGCGCAAUCCAUAUGCAACUGCAUUGUUUUGUUUAUUUUCUUCACAUUUUGUAACCCUAAAUUGCUAAAUAUACACUCAAAGGUUCCAGUUAAACUUUCCAAGAGGCAAUAAAGCAUUAAAAAUUAAGGACAAAACCUGUAUGUAGUAUGUAACAGCAGGGACUGUUGUGACCUGUAUGAUAUAACCCUGACAUAUUUAUUUUUGUGGUUGAUGUUGCAUUUCUACUGUCUGUCUCUGUCUUCUACCAUUUGUGUUCAUAAUGUUUUGUAUUAUGUUGUUGUACGUUUGUGUGUAUUCUGAACUUCACACUGGACUCAUGUAUCUUCCACUUUCUCAGGCUGCCGCUGUGCUGGCUACAACUUCAUUUACUGCCAUGUUUGUGAUGUGUGUUGCUCUGAAUAUCGUAUGGUAAAGUGUACAUACUUGAAUAAAGACAACAGAAGUACUCUA